rnacentral:misc_RNA from 1 species
GGGUAAGUGUGGGGCAGGACUGGAGAGAAGGAGAUAUAACACACAGGAUUCCCAUUAUUGUGACAGGAAAUGAUUUUUCAACAAUGUAUGCUCCUCUAAUUCGUGAUGGGAGAAUGGAGAAGUUCUAUUGGCAGCCCACCCAAGAAGACAUCGUGAAUAUUGUUUGCAGAAUGUACGAGAAAGAUGGCAUAACAAAGGAUGAGGUUGCGACUAUUGUUAAUACCUUCCCAAAUCAAGCAUUGGAUUUUUAUGGAGCUAUGAGAUCUAGAACAUACGACCAGUCCAUCUUAAAGUGGGUUGAAGACUCCGGAGGUGCUGAAGAUAUUGGCAGAAGAUUUCUUCGACAAAGAAAGAAGGGAGAACUCCCAGUUUUUAUUCCUCCAGAGCAAACACUGGAAGCCUUAAUUGAAUCGGGACACUCUCUCACGAAAGAACAAAUGCUGAUUAUGGAGAGCAAACUCUCAAAAGAAUACAUGAAGAACAUGGAUGAAGAAUAGUAUGG